GGAUUCGUAACUCAGUUGGUUAGAAUAUCCGGUUCAUAUCCGGAUGGUCGUAAGUUCAAGUCUUACCGAAUCUACCA
rnacentral:tRNA from 1 species